AUUGAACGCUGGCGGCAGGCCUAACACAUGCAAGUCGAGCGGAUGAAGGGAGCUUGCUCUCUGAUUCAGCGGCGGACGGGUGAGUAAUGCCUAGGAAUCUGCCUGGUAGUGGGGGACAACGUUUCGAAAGGAACGCUAAUACCGCAUACGUCCUACGGGAGAAAGCAGGGGACCUUCGGGCCUUGCGCUAUCAGAUGAGCCUAGGUCGGAUUAGCUAGUUGGUGGGGUAAAGGCUCACCAAGGCGACGAUCCGUAACUGGUCUGAGAGGAUGAUCAGUCACACUGGAACUGAGACACGGUCCAGACUCCUACGGGAGGCAGCAGUGGGGAAUAUUGGACAAUGGGCGAAAGCCUGAUCCAGCCAUGCCGCGUGUGUGAAGAAGGUCUUCGGAUUGUAAAGCACUUUAAGUUGGGAGGAAGGGCAGUAAGUUAAUACCUUGCUGUUUUGACGUUACCAACAGAAUAAGCACCGGCUAACUUCGUGCCAGCCGCCGCAGAACAC
rnacentral:rRNA from 1 species